AGGAGCAGAGGCGCCCUACUGGGACACUCCCAGGAACACGGGAUAUUUGGUUUGCUUGGUGACCCCACAGACAAAAGAAACCAAAGGCUAAGCAGGAGCACAAGGCUGGAAACAUUCUCCCCACACUGCAGCCUGCGGUCCCCAAGGUGCACUCUGCUGACCUCUAUUGACUAAUGACGUGGGUUUCCAGGCCUCAUGCCGGAACCGGCUUAAAGACCACAUCUGUGGACCCACAGAGAAGUCACGUUGUACACAGCAUGGAAAUUGUGCUUAUCUGAUGGGUGAAGAAACCGAGGACCCUGAGAGAGUCCCAGGGUUUGUGUCCCUGCACAAAACUUGGUAAUGGCAAGUUCCAAUCAGAGUUAGGUCUCCGCGACUUUAGG